rnacentral:rRNA from 1 species
GAAGCUUCUAGCUUGCUAGAAUGCUGAUUAGUGGCGCACGGGUGAGUAACGCAUAGCUCAUGUGCCUCUUAGUUUGGGAUAGCCAUUGGAAACGAUGAUUAAUACCAGAUACUCCUACGGGGNAAAGAUUUAUCGCUAAGAGAUCAGCCUAUGUCCUAUCAGCUUGUUGGUAAGGUAAUGGCUUACCAAGGCUAUNACGGGUAUCCGGCCUGAGAGGGUGNACGGACACACUGGAACUGAGACACGGUCCAGACUCCUACGGGAGGCAGCAGUAGGNNNNNUUGCUCAAUGGGGGAAACCCUGAAGCAGCAACGCCGCGUGGAGGAUGAAGGUUUUAGGAUUGUAAACUCNNUUUGUUAGAGAAGAUAAUGACGGUAUCUAACGAANAAGCACCGGC